rnacentral:rRNA from 1 species
GCAGCCGCCACGGUAAUACGAAGGGUGCAAGCGUUAAUCGGAAUUACUGGGCGUAAAGCGUGCGUAGGCGGUGAGUUAAGUCUGCUGUGAAAUCCCCGGGCUCAACCUGGGAAUGGCAGUGGAUACUGGCUCGCUAGAGUGUGUCAGAUGAUGGUGGAAUUCCCGGUGUAGCGGUGAAAUGCGUAGAGAUCGGGAGGAACACCGAUGGCGAAGGCAAUCCCCUGGGCCUGUACUGACGCUCAUGCACGAAAGCGUGGGGAGCAAACAGGAUUAGAUACCCGAGUAGUCCCUGUCUCUUAUAC